rnacentral:pre_miRNA from 1 species
UCUAGAACUCUAGAUAUGGGCUGAACACUUAACAGUGUCUGGGCUGUAGGAUAGAUUGCGACUUCUCCGUUAUUGCUAAGAUUUGGACUUCCAAACAACAAAAUUGAGUCUUGGACUCCCCAUGAAUGUUUUAGGCCUAUGUCUUAGCCUUUUAUC